GAAAACAUUUUUGAGAGAAAGUCAAGUACACGUCUGCACUCCGAAGUGGUCAACGGCAGCCUUGCUCUCACCACCACGUUGUCCGUCUGUUUUUAUACCAAACGCCCGACUUGAAGUGAAGCCUGCAUGAGAUGACCACGAGUUGUAAACCUGGACAACCACACAUACGCAUACCGAGGCAUGCACAUUAUGUGUCCAGUCCGUCUUAUCCCCCUGUUGAGAUCACACUCAUUUCAAGGAUCGUGAUUAUUUGUGAUAUGCAAGCGCUGCUGCGUAAAUACAUGGUUAUGACGCGCUUGCUCAACUUUCCUCUACGCAGGUGGUCAUGAUUUUACAAAACGUGACCACGAAGAUCUGAACUUGAGAGUCGGUGAAACGAGGCUAAGAUUUUUGAAAUUUUAAUUACGUUACAUUGUGACCUCCAAACUUUACACCUCAACAAAUGUACAAACAAGGAUUGCUUAAAUAGUAGAUUAAUACAUAAAUAAAACUGAUUGGGUGGGAAGCGUACAAAUGUACCAAGACAAUUAAAAUCUAUAACAAUCCUUAAAUUUGAUCAUUGUAAAUUUUAAUUGUGUAAUAAUAUAUUUCAGCGGAAUAUUUUCAUAUAUAAAUUAUUACCUCUCGAAAGCUCUACGACCUACAUAAGUAUUUCUACCUGCAUAUUUCCAAACAGUAACAAAAACAACAAAAAACGGUACAAACAG